rnacentral:lncRNA from 1 species
GAGGCAGGUGGAUCAUGAGGUCGAGACCAUUCUGGUCAACAUGGUGAAACCCCGUCUCUACUAAAAAUACAAAAAAUUAGCUGGGCAUGGUGGUGCGUGCCUGUAUCUCAGCUACUCAGGAGGCUGAGGUAGGAAAACUGCCUGAACCCAGGACGUGGAGGUUGCGGUGAGCCGAGAUCACGCCAUUGCACUCCAGCCUGGGUAACAAACAAGAGCGAAACUCCAUCUCAAAAAAAAAAAAAAAAAAAAAAAAAAUUUGAGACCAUCCUGGCCAACAUGAUGAAACCCCAUUGUGUUAAAAAUAAAAAA